GCGCGGACUCGCAUGCUGAGAUAUUUUAGAGACAAUCAAAAAGCAUUGGAGGUCUGAAGCGGACUCUGCUGCAAUUCUCAUUGCUAUGCGCUCUUAUACAACUUCCCGAAAAAAAAAAGACGAUAGAGUUCCAAGGAACAACAGACAACUGGGAAUGCGCUGCCACUGGUUCACUCUGUGUGCACUGGCGCUAUUGAUAGGCCUUGCUGGAUUUGCCCGCUCUGACGUGUCGUUUCCUGUGGUGGUUUUCUCGGCACUACUCUCUACGACAGCUCCGAUCUUCGGAAAGCCACCUGAAAGAUGUAAGAGGCCAAAAGAGAAAUGUAUAGCCAAGAGCCAGUGCUGCGUACCAUUUAUGUGCAUUCAGAGCAAGUGUAGACGUACAUGGCGACGGUAGGAGACGGCAUUAGCCAUAUCAAACCAGCACCGUGCAAUAACUUAUAUAACAUGGCAAUGCGCUGGAGUUUCGAAUGUCUCAAGAUUACGUCAAAAUAAAUGAAGAAUUGUCUGCCCGAUGAACACAGAAAGCCCGCAAUUAUUCAAAUGCAAUAAAAUGUGCUACGAGUUACAA